AGUGAACGCUGGCGGCAGGCCUAACACAUGCAAGUCGAGCGGCAGCACGGGGGCAACCCUGGUGGCGAGCGGCGGACGGGUGAGGAAUACAUCGGAAUCUGCCUUGUUGUGGGGGAUAACGUAGGGAAACUUACGCUAAUACCGCAUACGACCGAAAGGUGAAAGUGGGGGACCGCAAGGCCUCACGCGAUAAGAUGAGCCGUUGUCGGAUUAGCUAGUUGGUGAGGUAAUGGCUCACCAAGGCGACGAUCCGUAGCUGGUCUGAGAGGAUGAUCAGACACACGGGAACUGAGACACGGGCCAGACUCCUACGGGAGGCAGAAGUGGGGAAUAUUGGACAAUGGGCGCAAGCCUGAUCCAGCCAUGCCGCGUGGGUGAAGAAGGCCUUCGGGUUGUAAAGCCCUUUUGUUGGGGAAGAAAUCGUACGGGUGAAUAUCCCGUGCGGAUGACGGUACCCAAAGAAUAAGCACCGGCUAACUUCGUGCCAGCCGCCGCAGUAACAC
rnacentral:rRNA from 1 species